rnacentral:snRNA from 1 species
ACGCCUCUCUCGGCCUUUUGGCUAAGAUCAAGUGUAGUAUCUGUUCUGAUAAGUUUAAUCGCUUGUCUGUCGCUCAUUGAGCGACAUUUCGAUUAACUUUAUCUUUCUAGGGGCCUCGGUCAGCUCCAGCUUGCUGGGCUGCCUUGGCACGCUUUUAUAGGGAAGCGCACCAACUCCCUAGGAGAGCACCCUCU